CCUACGGGGGGCAGCAGUGGGGGAUAUUGCACAAUGGGGGGAACCCUGAUGCAGCGACGCCGCGUGGGUGAAGAAGCGCCUCGGCGCGUAAAGCCCUGUCAGCAGGGAAGAAAAUGACGGUACCUGAAGAAGAAGCCCCGGCUAACUACGUGCCAGCAGCCGCGGGAAUACGUAGGGGGCAAGCGUUAUCCGGAUUUACUGGGUGUAAAGGGGGCGCAGACGGCGAUGCAAGCCAGGAGUGAAAGCCCGGGGCCCAACCCCGGGACUGCUCUUGGAACUGCGUGGCUGGAGUGCAGGAGGGGCAGGCGGAAUGCCUGGUGUAGCGGUGAAAUGCGUAGAUAUCAGGAGGAACACCGGUGGCGAAGGCGGCCUGCUGGACAGUAACUGACGCUGAGGCGUGAAAGCGUGGGGAGCAAACAGGAUUAGAUACCCUUGUAGUC
rnacentral:rRNA from 1 species